rnacentral:rRNA from 1 species
AUUGAACGCUGGCGGCAGGCCUAACACAUGCAAGUCGAACGGUAACAGGAAGAAGCUUGCUUCUUUGCUGACGAGUGGCGGACGGGUGAGUAAUGUCUGGGAAACUGCCUGAUGGAGGGGGAUAACUACUGGAAACGGUAGCUAAUACCGCAUAACGUCGCAAGACCAAAGAGGGGGACCUUCGGGCCUCUUGCCAUCGGAUGUGCCCAGAUGGGAUUAGCUAGUAGGUGGGGUAACGGCUCACCUAGGCGACGAUCCCUAGCUGGUCUGAGAGGAUGACAGGCCACACUGGAACUGAGACACGGUCCAGACUCCUACGGGAGGCAGCAGUGGGGAAUAUUGCACAAUGGGCGCAAGCCUGAUGCAGCCAUGCCGCGUGUAUGAAGAAGGCCUUCGGGUUGUAAAGUACUUUCAGCGGGGAGGAAGGGAGUAAAGUUAAUACCUUUGCUCAUUGACGGUACCCGCAGAAGAAGCACCGGCUAACUCCGUG